rnacentral:rRNA from 1 species
UGGGGAAUUUUGGACAAUGGGCGAAAGCCUGAUCCAGCAAUGCCGCGUGUGUGAAGAAGGCCUUCGGGUUGUAAAGCACUUUUGUCCGGAAAGAAAUCCUUGGCUCUAAUACAGUCGGGGGAUGACGGUACCGGAAGAAUAAGCACCGGCUAACUACGUGCCAGCAGCCGCGGUAAUACGUAGGGUGCAAGCGUUAAUCGGAAUUACUGGGCGUAAAGCGUGCGCAGGCGGUUUGCUAAGACCGAUGUGAAAUCCCCGGGCUCAACCUGGGAACUGCAUUGGUGACUGGCAGGCUAGAGUAUGGCAGAGGGGGGUAGAAUUCCACGUGUAGCAGUGAAAUGCGUAGAGAUGUGGAGGAAUACCGAUGGCGAAGGCAGCCCCCUGGGCCAAUACUGACGCUCAUGCACGAAAGCGUGGGGAGCAAACAGGAUUAGAUACCCUGGUAGUCCACGCCCUAAACGAUGUCAACUAGCUGUUGGGGAUUCAUUCCUUAGUAACGUAGCUAACGCGUGAAGUUGACCGCCUGGGGAGUACGGUCGCAAGAUUAAAACUUAAAGGAAUUGACGGGGUCAUAGCUGUUUCCU